rnacentral:misc_RNA from 1 species
UUAAGUUCAGCGGGUAGUCCUGCCUGAUUUGAGGUCAAAAUCGUGAGAGAGUUUGGCUCAUCUCACAGGUUAGACGCAACUGGGACGGGUUCGACGUGGGUAAGACGUGCUAUGAUACCCACGACAGGUUCGUGACCGCAGAAGUAACGCCAAUCCAUUUCAGAGAAGCAAAGGGGCCCUCUUGAGGCAGCAAUGCAUCC